GAGCUGCCGGGUUGCUGAAGGGCUUUGCGGCUCAGCGGGAGGCUGAUGGGAUUAGGGGCUGCGGGGACCGGCUGCUAAUUCCCAUUGAACGGGGCUCGGCGUCCCCCCCGCCGCCGCUCCGCUCCCGGCCGCGGUGAGAAAUUAACUUGUAGCCGAGUCCGCGGGGAGGGCUGGGCUCGUCCAGGACAAGGGCGGCUCCUCGGACAGGGGCAGGAGGUUUUUGGGGGUGUUGCAGGUGCCCCUGGUUCCUCGGACAGGGGGAAGAGAUUUUUGGGGGUGUUGUAGCUGCCCCUGGCUCCUCGGACAGGGGAAGAGAUUUUUGGGGUGUUGCAGCUGCCCCUGGUUCCUCGGACAGGGGGAGGAGGUUUUUGGGGAUGUUGCAGGUGCCCCUGGUUCCUCGGGCAGGGGGAGGAGGUUUUUGGGGUGUUGCAGGUGCCCCUGGUUCCUCGGACAGGGGGAGGAGGUUUUGGGGUGUUGCAGGUGUCCCCAGCUCCUGAGGGAGCUCUCGGGG